GAAUCAGAAGAGAAAGGAACAAGUAGCUGGGUAAUCUCUUUCUCAAUAUUCCAAGAUGCUUAGUUCCAUUAGAAGAGUCUCAUCUCAAUCCUUUUAAUUCAUCUUCCUGUUCAGUCAAUAUCUGCCUUGCAGGAUUCACCGAACAAACAACUGAAUAAAUCCUCCAUAACCUUUUUCUAUCAUAGAAGACUGCAGCUUCCUCAGAUUGCUACUCAAUCUAUAGCAUGCAUCCAAUACUAAAGGCUGAUCAAAAGAUCAUCAGAUCUUGACUUAAUCCAACCACUAAUUAUGUUUCAAAUUAAAAUCACGAUAUUCGACACAUAGUCGUAUAGCUCAUCUAAUCUCACCACAAGUGAAAUUACUUCACUAAAAUGAAGCACUAGGCAUAAAACAUUCUCUAUUCGUCAAGUUCACAAUUUGUGACUUGUUUAGGAAUAGCACAAUCACUACUCAAGAACUACCUUUCACUUUGAGGGUUCUUACAAUUUAACAGUAUCAGCCAAUUAGGCUCCAACCUUUCUA
rnacentral:lncRNA from 1 species